UACGAAGGGGGCUAGCGUUGUUCGGAAUUACUGGGCGUAAAGCGUGCGCAGGCGGCUUCUCAAGUCAGGGGUGAAAGCCCAGAGCUCAACUCUGGAAUUGCCUUUGAGACUGAGAGGCUUGAGUACGGGAGAGGUGAGUGGAAUUGCGAGUGUAGAGGUGAAAUUCGUAGAUAUUCGCAAGAACACCAGUGGCGAAGGCGGCUCACUGGCCCGAUACUGACGCUGAGGCACGAAAGCGUGGGGAGCAAACAGG
rnacentral:rRNA from 1 species